CUGGGAUAACUACCGGAAACGGUGGCUAAUACCGGAUAUGAGGUGCCUGGGCAUCUGGGCGCCUGGAAAGUUUUUCGGUCAGGGAUGGGCUCGCGGCCUAUCAGCUUGUUGGUGGGGUGAUGGCCUACCAAGGCGACGACGGGUAGCCGGCCUGAGAGGGCGACCGGCCACACUGGGACUGAGACACGGCCCAGACUCCUACGGGAGGCAGCAGUGGGGAAUAUUGCACAAUGGGCGCAAGCCUGAUGCAGCGACGCCGCGUGCGGGAUGACGGCCUUCGGGUUGUAAACCGCUUUCAGCAGGGAAGAAGCGCAAGUGACGGUACCUGCAGAAGAAGCGCCGGCUAACUACGUGCCAGCAGCCGCGGUAAUACGUAGGGCGCAAGCGUUGUCCGGAAUUAUUGGGCGUAAAGAGCUCGUAGGCGGUUUGUCGCGUCUGCUGUGAAAUCCUCAGGCUCAACCUGGGGCUUGCAGUGGGUACGGGCAGACUAGAGUGCGGUAGGGGUGACUGGAAUUCCUGGUGUAGCGGUGGAAUGCGCAGAUAUCAGGAGGAACACCGAUGGCGAAGGCAGGUCACUGGGCCGCAACUGACGCUGAGGAGCGAAAGCAUGGGGAGCGAACAGGAUUAGAUACCCUGGUAGUCCAUGCCGUAAACGUUGGGCACUAGGUGUGGGGUCCAUUCCACGGAUUCCGUGCCGCAGCAAACGCAUUAAGUGCCCCGCCUGGGGAGUACGGCCGCAAGGCUAAAACUCAAAGAAAUUGACGGGGGCCCGCACAAGCGGCGGAGCAUGCGGAUUAAUUCGAUGCAACGCGAAGAACCUUACCAAGGCUUGACAUACACCGGAAAAAGUGCAGAGAUGUGCUCCCCCGUAAGGUCGGUGUACAGGUGGUGCAUGGUUGUCGUCACCUCGUGUCGUGAAAAUGUUGGGUUAAAUUCCCGCAACGAGCGCAACCCUUCGUCCCAUGUUGCCAGCGGGUUUAUGCCGGGGACUCAUGGGAGACUGCCGGGGUCAACUCGGAGGAAGGUGGGGAUGACGUCAAAUCAUCAUGCCCCUUAUGUCUUGGGCUUCACGCAUGCUACAAUGGCCGGUACAAAGGGCUGCGAUACCGCAAGGUG
rnacentral:rRNA from 1 species